GACGAACGCUGGCGGCGUGCUUAACACAUGCAAGUCGAACGGUGAAGCGCCUUCCUUUUUGGUGGGUGUGGAUGAGUGGCGAACGGGUGAGUAACACGUGAGUAACCUGCCCCCUUCUUCUGGAUAACCGCAUGAAAGUGUGGCUAAUACGGGAUAUUCUGGGUCUGUCGCAUGAUGGGUCUGGGAAAGAUAUUGUUGCGGUGGGGGAUGGGCUCGCGGCCUAUCAGCUUGUUGGUGGGGUAGUGGCCUACCAAGGCUUUGACGGGUAGCCGGCCUGAGAGGGUGACCGGCCACAGUGGGACUGAGAUACGGCCGAGACUGCGGGGGGAGGCAGCAGUGGGGAGAAGUGCACAAUGGGCGGAGGCCGGAUGGGGCGAGGCGGCGUGGGGGGUGACGGCCUUCGGGUUGUAAACCGCUUGCGCCUGUGUUGGGGGGUGGGUGACGGGAAUGGGUAAAGAAGCACCGGCUAAAUACGGG
rnacentral:rRNA from 1 species